AUACUGAGCAGCCGCCAGACAGGUGGGCCGCCAAGCAGGCAGCGCUGCGGGAAGACAAGUUGUUAAGAUGGUUUCGCGCCGGUCUCAAAAUGGCGUGAGAUUACCUAUGGAUCCCCAACAAUGGCAAGUUGCUCAGUCUCAAUGCAGGUGGCCAUAUUUACUGCACUGGUCACAAACGAAGAGAGACAGGAAGGAAUAUCUCCAAUCCUGUGAAUAAAUAUUUGUGACCCUG